UACGAAGGGGGCUAGCGUUGCUCGGAAUCACUGGGCGUAAAGCGCACGUAGGCGGCCAACUAAGUCGGAUGUGAAAUCCCCAGGCUUAACCUGGGAAUUGCAUCCGAUACUGGAUGGCUUGAAUCCGGGAGAGGGAUGCGGAAUUCCAGGUGUAGCGGUGAAAUGCGUAGAUAUCUGGAGGAACACCGGUGGCGAAGGCGGCAUCCUGGACCGGCAUUGACGCUGAGGAGCGAAAGCCAGGGGAGCAAACGGG
rnacentral:rRNA from 1 species